rnacentral:rRNA from 1 species
AUUGAACGCUGGCGGCAUGCUUUACACAUGCAAGUCGAACGGCAGCGCGGGGCAACCUGGCGGCGAGUGGCGAACGUGUGAGUAAUAUAUCGAAACGUACCCAGAAGUGGGGGAUAACGUAGCUAAAGUUACGCUAAUACCGCAUACGAUCUACGGAUGAAAGUGGGGGACCUUCGGCCCUCAUUCUUGUGGAGCGGCCGAUAUCUGAUUAGCUAGUUGGUAGGGUAGAGUCCUACCAAGGCGACGCUCAGUAGCUGGUCUGAGAAGCCGACCAGCCACACUGGGACUGAGACAUGGCCCAGACUGCUACGGGAGGCAGCAGUGGGGAAUUGUGGACAAUGGGCGCAAGCCUGAGUCAGCAAUGACGCGUGAGUGAAGAAGGCCUUCGGGUUGUACAGCUAUUUUGUUAGGGAAGAAACGGCGAUUUCUAAUAAAGAUUGCUAAUGACGGUACCUGAAGAAUAAGCACCGGCUAACUACGUGCCAGCCGCCGCGGUAA